ensembl:lincRNA 2210406O10Rik RIKEN cDNA 2210406O10 gene
AGGCUCCUGCUACCUUCUGCGGGCGGAACGUGGGUGUCCCGGGAAGGGACGGACCCCAUCUCUACUAUGCCGCAAGCGCGUUGUGUCAACAGGCUGGCUGUGGACGGCCCGAUGAGCGUUACUUGAUUUUGUACUUUCGGCCACCUCCAAUUUUCUCAGAACGCAACAUAAGAAAAAAAAAACUAACAGCAGUGUGUGCAGGAGAGCUUCGAAAAUAUGGGUGCUGAUGUUUGGUCACUGCUAUGGGGGAGGUCGCAGAGCUGAGAGUUGUCGGAGGACGUUUUCUGUCCUGUCUAGCUGUUCAACCCAGGGUCCAGACUUUUCAAGGGCUACUUAUGGUAGUCCGAACUACUCACUGCUGACACUUGGCACCUAGUCUUCAUUCUGGGACCCCAGAGACAUUCUUCCCUGCUGUGACUAUGCAUGGGGAGGUGUGUCCACUGCCCGGCAUCUCAGCUUCACAAGAGGCCCCACAGGGGUCUCUCACUUGAAGGACAAGGGCCAGGGAGACCAUGUCAGUGGGAAUUACCUGUGAGGUCACGUGCUGCUGCUUCUAGUUCACUCUCUGACCUCUCCUGAAGAAGCCAAGCUGCAGAGAUGAGCUACAAAGGACAUUCUCAGAGCUGUCAAAAAGAAUCAGAGGAGAAAGGCUUCAAAGAAGACUGAGACCAGACCAGCUGCUUGGAAAAAGCAGAAGCCAGCUGAGCUGUCUGGAAGAAGUUUAGAUCAACUGAGGCACCUGGAAAGGACAAUCCACCUCCAACCUGCUGAGCUUCAUGAGUGCUGUGUGUUCCAGGUACCCAGCUUUGUGAGCUGUGGCCCAUGCUGGGGUAGGCUUUGGUGAUACUGCUGGUUUUGAGUCAUUUCUACUCCUGUAAGUAAUUCUUCAUCCAUACUCUUGUGCGUAACCCCAAUAAAACUCAUUGGUCCACCAAACUAGACUUUGGUGGUAUCAUAUUUGGUCUAUUAUGGGUUCCCAGUUUGGUGUGAGUGAACAUGGGUGUUGCAUCUCCCCCCAAAAACGUUUUGUCGCACAAGUGGUAUCAUCCUAAAGACUGGGGUGCUGGGAUGGAAUAAAAAGGGAAAGUCAGUCGGCCUCUCACUCCCUGCCGAGGUCCCCUUCUCCUCCCUCUCUAGUUCUCACUGUCUUGCUUUCUCCACCACUCUCUCUCCUCCCCUCCCUUGUUUCCUCCCCCCCCCCCCCCCCCCGCAUCUUUGUUAGGAGAUAGUUUCCUGAGUUCAGCCAUCCCAGGAAUGAGUUCCACCUUGUUGGCCGGAUCAAAACCGAGCUCCUGUUCCCAGUCCCCGGAACCCAACUCCUGUCCUGCUUCUUCAGAUGUUUGGUGUUUGUCUGCUAAGCAGUAAAGGAUAGAAAGAGAUGCUGUGACCCCAUUAUCUAAACUAAGGCACACAAGUCCUAAAUGUGCUGUCUUGACUUAAUUGACUACAUGCAACUUGCCACUCCUUUGUUCCCUGAUCAUUCUAAAAUUCCAGGUCAGAGUCCAAGAAGGGAUUUGAGCCAGCAGCUAACUCAAGGUGACCCAGAUAAGUCUCAGUUACCAAUGUUAACUUCCUUGUUUAACCCCUUGUAUUAAAAUAUGAUUGGUCAAUGGAACAGUUCACUCCAACAUUCUCCCUUGCUUUGUGUUUCUGUCCUAUAAAAAUGUGCAAUCUCCGUUCGGGAUACAGUUCAGAUCCUGAACUGGCCGCCUCCCUGAGCUCUCAGAAAAUAAAACUUUCAUUUUAAGCUUC